rnacentral:rRNA from 1 species
UAGAGUUUGAUCCUGGCUCAGGAUGAACGCUGGCGGCGUGCGUAACACAUGCAAGUUGAGCGACGGAGCUUAGAAGUUUAGCAAUAAGCGGAAGAGCUUACGGAGCGGCGGACUGGUGAGUACAACAUGAGAAGCUGUCCUGUAGAGGGGGACAACGUCUGGAAACGGACGCUAAUACCCCAUAAGCCUGAGGGUGAAAGCAGCAAUGUGCUAUAGGAGGUGCUCGUGUCCUAUCAGCUGGUUGGUGAGGCAAUGGCUUACCAAGGCGACGACGGGUAACCGGCCUGAGAGGGUGUCCGGUCACACUGGGACUGAGAUACGGCCCAGACUCCUACGGGAGGCAGCAGUGGGGAAUAUUGGGCAAUGGGGGAGACCCUGACCCAGCGACGCCGCGUGGAUGAAGAAGGUUUUCGGAUCGUAAAAUCCUUUUAUGCAGGAAGAAGGAAGUGACGGUACUGCAUGAAUAAGCCCCGGCUAACUACGUGCC